rnacentral:rRNA from 1 species
UACGGAGGGUGCAAGCGUUGUUCGGAAUCACUGGGCGUAAAGGGCGCGUAGGCGGCCUGGUAAGUCGGAGGUGAAAGCCCUCGGCUUAACUGGGGAACUGCGUCCGAUACUGGAUGGCUUGAGUUUGGGAGAGGGAUGCGGAAUUCCAGGUGUAGCGGUGAAAUGCGUAGAUAUCUGGAGGAACACCGGUGGCGAAGGCGGCAUCCUGGACCAAUACUGACGCUGAACAGCGAAAGCCAGGGGAGCAAACGGG